rnacentral:rRNA from 1 species
UGCUGGAAUGCACCGAGGCCCAAAGCUCCGGCGUCUGAGGAUGGGUCUGCGGCCUAUCAGGGUAGUAGUGGGUGUAAAGUACCUACUAGCCUACGACGGGUACGGGUCGUGAGAGCGAGAGCCCGGAGAUGGAUCCUGAGACGCGAAUCCAGGCCCUACGGGGUGCAGCAGACGCGAAAACUUUACAAUGCCGGCAACGGCGAUAAGGGGACCCUGAGUGCCAGGAUACAAUCCUGGCUGUCGUAAUGCCUAAAAAGCAUUAUAUAGCAAGGGCCGGGCAAGACCGGUGCCAGCCGCCGCGGUAACACCGGCGGCUCGAGUGGUAACCGCUAUUAUUGGGUCUAAAGGGUCUGUAGCCGGCCUGGUAAGUCUUUUGGGAAAUCCGGCAGCUCAACUGUCGGGCUAUCAGAGGAUACUGCUAGGCUCGAGACCGGGAGAGGUGAGAGGUACUUCAUGGGUAGGGGUGAAAUCUUGUAAUCCUUGAAGGACCACCAGUGGCGAAGGCGUCUCACCAGAACGGAUCUGACGGCAAGGGACGAAAGCUAGGGGCACGAACCGGAUUAGAUACCCGGGUAGUCCUAGCCGUAAACGAUACUCGCUAGGUGUCGGCCACGGUGCGACCGUGGUCGGUGCCGUAGGGAAGCCGUGAAGCGAGCCACCUGGGAAGUACGGCCGCAAGGCUGAAACUUAAAGGAAUUGGCGGGGGAGCACUACAACGGGUGGAGCCUGCGGUUUAAUUGGAAUCAACGCCGG